rnacentral:rRNA from 1 species
UACGGGGGGAGCAAGCGUUGUUCGGAUUUACUGGGCGUAAAGGGCGCGUAGGCGGCCAGCGCAAGUCAGUUGUGAAAUCUCCGGGCUUAACUCGGAACGGUCAACUGAUACUGCGCGGCUAGAGUGCGGAAGGGGCAACUGGAAUUCUCGGUGUAGCGGUGAAAUGCGUAGAUAUCGAGAGGAACACCUGCGGCGAAGGCGGGUUGCUGGGCCGACACUGACGCUGAGGAGCGAAAGCGUGGGGAGCGAACAGG